AAGUAGAGAGAAUAGUGGCUGUGCUGUAAGUUUCAAAAUCUAUAUCACAGUGGCUGUUCUUUUUGCAC
rfam:Drosophila ananassae strain TSC#14024-0371.13 Ctg01_18792, whole genome shotgun sequence.